UAUCCCAUGGUUGAAGUCCCUGGCCUCAAAGGCCCUGACCUUCUCUACAGAGCUUGGGGACCAGAUGACCUCAUUGCUGUAGCCAAACAGCACCUUCCCCCUAUUGAGAAAGGAGGCAGAGCCAUCGCUGAAGCCCUAGAGUAUCUCAGCAAAACCAUGAGACCAACGACCUAUGAACUUAAGACUGUUUUGCUCCAUGUUUAUGGUCCAACUGUGGUCUCCAAACUUGGUCCAGUCUUCUCACAAGAUCUCCGUCUAAGAGGAAUGGAUAACCCUGACGGAACCGACAAUCCACUCAAUGCUGACUACAACAAGGCUCUACGAAAAAUAGGCGAAGCCUUCAUAGAGCAGUUUCCAGUCCGCCCCAGCUACAAUGUCAUCUCAGCCUGCAUCCAAGGUCCAAUUGAAGGUUCAAAUGACUUUUACAGACGCCUGUUUGACAUGUUCUCAGCUCACUCUGGUCUAGAAGUCCCCAAAAAUGACUGGAUGGGAAAUGAUCCGGCUGGUCCCUUUGAACUGCUUCUCUGUCAAAAGUUCCUGGAAGGACUAAGGCUUGACAUCAGAGAUGGAAUCAAAAUGUCCUACAUUGGAUGGGACAUCACACCAAGAAUUAAAGAACUUCUGCUUCAUGCCCAACACAAUGAGAAACUCUGCAACGAUCGCCAGAAGAAGAACAAAGACCGCAAAGAAAAGCGCAUGGAAGAUGCUCAGCUCACCCUGAUUCAACACAUCACUGCUCAGAACUCCAACCACCACCCACCUGCAGUUGAUCAAUAUGGAGGUCCCUCACAAGAUCCAUGUUUCAACUGUGGCCAGAUUGGACAUUGGGCUCGAGAAUGCCCUCAGAAGAAGCGAGACAGAAGCAGAGGCAGAGGUUUCCACCACCAUCAAGGACGUCCAAACCCACGUGGCAGCUUUGGCCCACGCGGCCGAGGGUUCCUAACUCAGGGUGGUUUCAACAAUCAAAGAGGACAUUAUUCCACCUGACUAGAGCCAGCAGCUAGCCCGGUGCCGUUGGAUCAACCCAUGGUUCAGCAAACUGCAAGUACCAGCACACACACAUAUAUGAUAUAUCAUCAAAAUGCAUAUCAGAAGUUGCCAAUGUUGACAGUGCAAGUUAAAGGUGUUGACAUACAUUUUUUAGUAGAUUCUGGGGCCACCCAGUCCCUAAUAAAACAUGAAUGUCUCCCUAGAGCUCCAUUAUCUGGAAAAACAGUUCAUUCCACGGGAGCUUCUGGUCAAGUAACACCUGAACCAGUCACAAAACCAUUGAAUCUCAUUGAUCCUUUCACGGGACAGGAACUGACACAUCAAUUUUUGUUGUCACCUGUCUGCCCAAUUAAUCUAUUGGCUCGAGAUUUAAUGUUAAAAAUGUCUCUGUGUCUAAAAUGUACACCAGAGGGCAUCCAAGUGGUUAAACAAACGGAAACAACCACAUUCUCUAAAUGACCAAACCUUCUCUACAUUUUUGAAUGGUCUAUUGCUGAUCAACAAACUGAAACCAUCCUGAGGUUAGCACGUAACCGUGUGCCUCCAACAGCUGAUGUGAUGCCUCAACAACGCUUGCAUUGCACAACACUGGCAACCACAGACCCAGCUGAUGAGCUCGGCGAUGAGUUCAUCUGCUCUCCACCCACAUCAUUGCAUGUGACACACAUGUGUUGGCAGCACAACACAACGUUCUUACUGGUUUGUCUAAGCCCUGCCCAACAACAUUUUUUCCAAGUCCCUGAGUCAUUUCCACAUAUCUCUCUGGCUAAAGAUCCAGCUGAUAAGUGGAAGUCACUAGGACCUCUGGCUAAAUCUACCCAUGAAGCAACUGAUUGGAUGUUCCAUUCUCCUGGAAUAAAAUACUCCCCCUCUCUACAAAUGUACAGAGAGCAGUUAAUUGCUGAUUUGUCUGUCCGCCCCUCAAAGGAAGUGAUUGACAGCUCAUGACUGACACUUGCUCAGCUCUGCAGCCCUCAUCCAGCACUUGACACAUUACCUGAUCAUCUUUGGGCUGUUCACUGUUUAGUGGGCGUUCCUACACAUUAACUAGAUUGUGUCAAGGUUAUUGUGAAUCACCAACCAUUUUCCAUCAAGCUCUGAAUUAGCAGCUCUAACAUUACAUCCGAAAUGUGCUCUGUUGCAGUAUGUUGACGAUCUCCUAUUGGCAGCACCUGAUGCUGAACUCUGUAAAAAUGAGAGUUUGAAAUUACUCAAUUUUCUUGCUGAUAAUGGACACAAAGUUAGCAAAACCAAAUUGCAGUUUGUGCAACCUUGUGUGACAUUCCUGGGACACGUGAUUUCAGAACAAGGCAGAACUAUUUCUGAAAAACGCAUUUCAGCAAUAGUUCAGCUCCAAACACGUUCAACGUUCACCUUUGAAGGGUUUUGUGAAAACAGCUCGUGCUAGCAAACGCUUUGCACCUCGUUAUGCUCCUGAAGUAAUUUGUGAAAUGCAAUUAAAUAACAUUACAUUGUAAGAAACUGAGACUUGGAAGCUAACGUUAACUUGAGGCAGCAAACGCUGACUGCUCACGUCACUGAGCUCACUGCUCAGUGACGUGUUGGUGGUGGCUCACACCGUCGCUAACGUAUUCCGUCACACACUUUAUUUCUCUUUUCUUUUCUCUUCCAUUCACUGAAAUUGAUGAGAAAUGAUUUGUGUUGUGCACAAUCCACAAUCUGUUUUGUUGUUUUCUUCUCCUCUGACUCCACGUGUGAAUUUUCUCACGGCGCCUCAGAGUCUCAACCGAGUUUGAGAGAAACGGGAGACUUGAGGGCUCAAGUCGCCAUGUACCUGGGGAUCAGAAAGGGGAAAUUAAAGACGGUAAGCCCCGCUCCCUCAGAUUCACUUGGAAUAUGAGAACCACCAGCUCCAUGGAGCCC